GUCUUAAUAGUUUAAUAAAAUGUUAAAUUGCAAAUUUAAUGAUACCUUGUGUUUAAGAUU
rnacentral:tRNA from 2 species